rnacentral:sRNA from 1 species
UGACGUUAGUACUUGGAAUGAGAGCGUGACUCACGGGGCAUAACUGCUGCCUGUACAUUGUUUACAAUCCAGCAAGCAAGGGACACCGAAUAGCAGCUCCGGCAGCCUGUGCUGGCGGCCUGCAGAGAAUUCCAGGUGACGCUCCAGAGGGGCUAGGAGAGGAUACCCUUCUGAUGACAGCCAUGGCUCGCCCGGCAUCACCCCACUCAAGAGGCCAGACGGGGUCCCAGCUGAGGUGACACAGCUCCUUUCCCAGUCGGGAAGGGGCGUCUGCAGGGAGCAGGAAGGGCUUAGCUUGGGGCUGCCCGCUCCGGCACCGACCUGGGACGCGCCCUGAGGCCCCUGCCUGGGACCGUCCCGGACUACAUUUCCCAGAGACCAUCCAGGAGUACGCCGUGCUGCAUGCUGGGACACGGGGCUUGGGGCUCUGGUUUCCCCCGACGGUCCCGCGUCCUCUUCUAGCCUCACCCCCUCCCGAGGCCCCAGCGUUGGGGGACUACCGGGCCAGCAUCCUUCAGAAAAAGCAUCCCCGAGGAGGAAGACGAAUCGUUAAACAUCUUAAAGGGUCAGGCCAGCAU